AUUGAACGCUGGCGGCAUGCUUUACACAUGCAAGUCGAACGGCAGCGCGGGCUUCGGCCUGGCGGCGAGUGGCGAACGGGUGAGUAAUACAUCGGAACGUGCCCAGUAGUGGGGGAUAGCUCGGCGAAAGCCGGAUUAAUACCGCAUACGACCUGAGGGCGAAAGCGGGGGAUCUUCGGACCUCGCGCUAUUGGAGCGGCCGAUGGCAGAUUAGCUAGUUGGUGGGGUAAAGGCCUACCAAGGCGACGAUCUGUAGCUGGUCUGAGAGGACGACCAGCCACACUGGGACUGAGACACGGCCCAGACUCCUACGGGAGGCAGCAGUGGGGAAUUUUGGACGAUGGGCGAAAGCCUGAUCCAGCAAUGCCGCGUGUGUGAUGAAGGCCUUCGGGUUGUAAAGCACUUUUGGCGGGAACGAAAAGGACUGUGCCAAUACCACGGUUCGAUGACGGUACCCGCAGAAUAAGCACCGGCUAACUACGUG
rnacentral:rRNA from 1 species